GUGAAGAACCGAGCCGCAAGGCAAGGUUUUGAUCUCUUCAAACAAACUGUGCACGCCUCCGGGCAUUUCAAAGCGUUAUUAGUAAGAAAGCAAUACAAAAGUUAAUA
rnacentral:misc_RNA from 1 species